UAUUUACUGGGUAGGUUCCUGGUGUGGAGGGUUAGUUUUGACAGUGAUAUUUACUGGGUAGGUUCCUGGUGUGGAGGGUUAGUUUUGACAGUGAUAUUUACUGGGUAGGUUCCUGGUAUGGAGGGUUAGUUUUGACAGUGAUAUUUACUGGGUAGGUUCCUGGUAUGGAGGGUUAGUUUUGACAGUGAUAUUUACUGGGUAGGUUCCUGGUGUGGAGGGUUAGUUUUGACAGUGAUAUUUACUGGGUAGG